GCUCUUUAAUAAAAUGAAUUGUGUGCUAGACAGUGAGACUUUGUAUAUAAAUCGUACUAAUUGUUACUCCCUCUUUUAAACGACGUUUUAGAAAUAACUCUAAUACCAAGGAGACGGAAUAGGGCUAAUUCGUUGUUGGGAACGCCUUGUUCCGAUAAAGCAAGCAUCCAACCUACACGUUUGCUGGCUUCUCUGCAUACGCGUGUCGCUGCUUUCAUGCAAAAACCAACCCAUUGCUGCAUGCAUUUUAAUGCACACGGGAGACCGAGUAGUUCUUUCAAUGUUGCAUGAGUAUGGCACUUUAUCAGGGAAAAACUAAAAAAAUAAAAGCAUGUAAACUAGGAUGGAGGGAGUAGUGAUUUUUUAAAGAAAACCUGCACAAAGCUCAAACAAAAGUAAAACUACACAAAUAAAAUAAGUUCUCACAGCGUUCUUCCCUCGGUCCCGAUAGUUCUAACG
rnacentral:lncRNA from 1 species